GGUAUACAGAAAGAUCCUAUCUGAAAAAAAAGAAAAGUAAGCCAUGGUUGGUGAUGCACAACUUUAAUCCCAGCACUUCAGAGGCAGAGGCCAGUGGAUCCCUGAAGGGGCAGACUGGCUACGUAGAAAGUUCCAAACCAGUCAGGGCUAUAUAGUGAGAUUCCCCUAUCUCAAACAAAACAAAAACAAAACUAGAGGGUUGGCUCAGGUUGCUGCUCUAUAAGAGGACCUGGGUUUGAGUCCCAACACCUACAUGAUGGCUCAUAACCAUCUAAAACUUCAGUUCCAGAUCUGGGAGCCUCCUGGGCUAUCUAGGCCAGAGAUAAGCCUUAAGAUACCCCUUAACUGUUACCCUAGUACCAAGUGGAAACUCUAGAAACCAGUAGCAACCCCACCCCCUAAAAAAGAAAGCAAAAUAGAAAAAUACAGUUUACUUGAGUGAACCACAAUCCAUCAGAAGUCUGAGAUUCAAGCACCUCUGCAGGGAUGUGGUGUCUUGGUGGAGUGUUUCUACUGAUAAGCUGACAAGAAAAGGCCUUGGACUAAAUGAAGUUUUCCAUGGCCCAGAGGUGAAAGGUGUACACAGCACAUGUUAGCCCCAUGCUUGUCAGCUGCAUAAGGGUGUGGAGUAUCACAGUGGGUGGCCUGAAGGCUGCCAGGACACACCAGGUAGAUGCUUACAAUCCCCUUCCAGAAGCAAAGCGGAGAUGUGGGGAUGGAUCCACUGAGUGACCUCUCAUACCACUGAACUGCUCUCUGCUCUUUAGGCACAGCCUGGGAUCAUACCUGCCUUGCAAGAUGACCACAGCAGUUAAAAUCAUUUCUUACCAUGCAGAUGAGGAUAUAGCCUGUACCACAACAGCAGACGGGCUAAGGAGACAACCGAGAAAGGACCACUGUGAAGGAUGGGUAUCGGGUCUGAUACCUAGCACUCGGAUGAAAGGGCCAGCCUGUCCCCAGAACAGGGAGCUCUGGAGGAGACUUGAAGUAAAAUGCUUGAGACUGGGAUGGGUGAGAAGCCUCCUGCCCCCAGAUUCUGCUCUCAGUGAGUACAGACAACGUGUACCGACAGCGUCUGACAGAUGGGCUCUGAACUUCUGAGUGAGCCUCUCGCCCCUGCUUCCCUAAAUCACAGCACGUGACCCCACGUCCAGGGCUAUGGGUUUUUAGAUUCAAGCUAAUUUUUAAAAAGUUCAAGGCCAGCAAGACAUCUCUACAUGUCAGGAGAGGGCCACUCCAAGUGUCCCCUGGUCUCCAUAUGUGUCAGAUACACGCAAACAAAAACAUGCAGCAACUGUUUUAGUAUUUAUUUAUUUAGGGUUUUUUUUUGAGACAGGGUUUCUUUGUGUAGCCCUCUCUGGAACUCACAGAGAGCUGCUAAGACUAAGAGAAUGUAUGUGUUAGGAACAGAGUGAAACCAAAAUGACCGUUAGAAGCCGUCAUAAAAGCCAGGACGUGGUGGUGCACCCCUUAACUUCCAGCACUUACGAGGCAGAG